rnacentral:rRNA from 1 species
ACGAACGCUCUCGGCAUGCCUAACACAUGCAAGUCGAACGCUCCGCAAGGGGAGUGGCGCACGGGUGUACCACGCGUGGGAACCUGCCCUGGGGUGGGGGAUAACCGAUGGAAACGUCGGCUAAUACCGCAUACGUCCUGAGGGAGAAAGAUUUAUCGCCCUGGGAGGGGCCCGCGUCGGAUUAGCUAGUUGGUGGGGUAACGGCCUACCAAGGCGAUGAUCCGUAGCUGGUCUGAGAGGAUGAUCAGCCACACUGGGACUGAGACACGGCCCAGACUCCUACGGGAGGCAGCAGUGGG